UGCAGCCCCGUCAAAUUCGGUCUCUGCCUCCUCCGUGGCGGGGACCGGCCAACCGGCUGCCACAGCAAGUUCGGUGGUCCACGAGCCCCACGUCCCCCUUCCUGUGGGAUGCUGGGGGGGUGAGAAUGUCACGGACACGU